UACGUAGGUGGCGAGCGUUGUCCGGAUUUAUUGGGCGUAAAGCGCGCGCAGGCGGUCGCGUAAGUCUGCUGUGAAAUCUCCCUGGCUCAACCGGGAGGGGGCGGCGGAGACUGCGGGACUGGAGGGACCUAGAGGCCGGUGGAAUUCCCGGUGUAGUGGUGAAAUGCGUAGAGGAUCGGGGAGGAACACCUGUGGCGGAAGGCGGCCGGCUGGGGGUGCCC
rnacentral:rRNA from 1 species